rnacentral:rRNA from 1 species
GAUGAACGCUGGCGGCGUGCUUAACACAUGCAAGUCGAACGGGAAUUACUUUAUUGAAACUUCGGUCGAUUUAAUUUAAUUCUAGUGGCGGACGGGUGAGUAACGCGUGGGUAACCUGCCUUAUACAGGGGGAUAACAGUCAGAAAUGGCUGCUAAUACCGCAUAAGCGCACAGAGCUGCAUGGCUCAGUGUGAAAAACUCCGGUGGUAUAAGAUGGACCCGCGUUGGAUUAGCUAGUUGGUGGGGUAACGGCCCACCAAGGCGACGAUCCAUAGCCGGCCUGAGAGGGUGAACGGCCACAUUGGGACUGGGACACGGCCCAGACUCCUACGGGAGGCAGCAGUGGGGAAUAUUGCACAAUGGGGGAAACCCUGAUGCAGCGACGCCGCGUGGAGGAAGAAGUAUCUCGGUAUGUAAACUUCUAUCAGCAGGGAAGAUAAUGACGGUACCUGACUAAGAAGCCCCGGCUAACUACGUGCCAGCCGCCGCAGUAA